AAGGAGAAAGUGAAGGAGAGGAUGAAGGAGAAGGAGAGGAAGCUGAAGGGGCAAGUGCCGAAGAGUCACAACAACCAGAAGAAGCAGCAGAAGGUGGAGGAGAAGCACCAGCGGAGGAGUAAAGAAACGGAUUUCCAACAAAACAUCGCAACAACCGCUGUGACAAGAAGGGAGGGAGCAGCUCCAUCAUUAGAACAGAAAUUUGAUAAAAACUGAUUUGUUUACACGUACACUUGAUUACGAGUUACCAGCUUGUCGUAAUAGGAUGAUAGUACAGGCAACAACAACAUCUUGUGUGUAUACAUCAAAGGGUAUGUCACAGCGAUGUCCGCAUUGUUUAGUCUGGUCUCAAUGAUAAAGUCUGUAUUGUUUAGUCUGGUCUCAAUGAUAAAGUCUGUAUUGUUUAGUCUCAAUGAUAAAGUCUGUAUUGUUUAGUCUCAAUGAUAAAGUCUGUAUUGUUUAGCUA